GACGAACGCUGGCGGCGUGCCUAAUACAUGCAAGUAGAACGCAGUUGCGAACGGGUGAGUAACGCGUAGGUAACUGCCUCAUAGCGGGGGAUAACUAUUGGAAACGAUAGCUAAUACCGCAUACUGUGAGAUGGACCUGCGUUGUAUUAGCUAGUUGGUGAGGUAAAGGCUCACCAAGGCGACGAUACAUAGCCGACCUGAGAGGGAGGUCGGCAACAGUGGGACUGGCGCAGGGCCCGUACUCCAACGGGAGGAAGCAGUAGGGAAUUUUCGGCAAGGAAGGGAAGUCUGCCAGAGAAAUGCCGCGUGAGUAAAGAAGGUUGUAGGAGCAUAAAGCUCUGUUGUUAGAGAAGCGGUAACUAACGAGAAAGGGACGGCUAACUACGUGCCAGCAGCCGCGGUAAUAC
rnacentral:rRNA from 1 species